rnacentral:rRNA from 1 species
UACAGAGGUCUCAAGCGUUGUUCGGAUUCAUUGGGCGUAAAGGGUGCGUAGGCGGUCUUGUGCGUCGGCGCUGAAAUCACACGGCUCAACCGUGUGGCGCGUGCCGAUACGACGAGACUUGAGGCUCUGAGAGGGUGGCGGAACUCCUGGUGUAGUGGUGAAAUGCGUAGAGAUCAGGAAGAACACCCGUGGCGCAAGCGGCCACCUGGCAGAGUUCUGACGCUGAGGCACGAAAGCGUGGGGAGCGAACCGG